UUUAUUUUUAUUUAAUAAAAUAAUAAAAUAUUAUUUAUAUAUAAUAAAAUAAUAAUAAAACAAAUCUCAUUAAUAUUUGAACUGAUAUUUGAUCCUAAAUAUUCGAGAAUGAGAACCCAUUUAAAAAAAAAACAGCCGGGGAUUUGAGAGGAGCUUCUCAACUCAACCAACCAUGGCAACCGUGAUGACAUUUCAACCGUGAUGCGUGAUGCUCACAGUGAUGCUGGAAGUGGCAACCGUGAAGCAGAAAGGCGAGCAACUGGUGUUGUUAAUGGAGGACAGGGUCGGCACAACCUCACGAACUUGAAUACGCAGAUGUUGAAUGGACUUAGUUUGAGAGAUCCACCUCCUUUGAGUCCAUCAAGUAAAGAAACUAAGGCUUAUAACUCACCAGGAGAACCUGUAUAUGAAUACCUUGAAAGUGAAUCACCAUAUGUUCGUAAACCUUUAUAUGAUCAGAUUUUAAAUCUUGCAUCUAAAUUUCCUGGGCUCAACGUGUACAGAAGCUGUGAUAUAUUGUCGAUUACAUAUACACACAUACAUAUAUGUAUGUACAUAUAUAUAUAUUGGACAUUAGAGAGGUUCUUUUAUUAUUUACCACUUGUUUCUUUUUAUUUUUUGUAACAGUUUUAUGUAUGUGAUUUAGUCAUUAGAGUUGUUUGUGAUUCUUCAGUUGCGAUAAAAGAUAUGUUGAUAGUGGCGAUAGUGGGGUAAACUUUUAUGCCUAUAAAGUGUUUGAUAUAAUUCUUCGAUGACUUCUUCAAAUUGCCUAGAGCAGCAAGUACCCAUACACCAACAAUACAAGGAGUUGCAUUGGGAGACAGUUGGAUAUCUCCUGGAGAUUUUGUGGUAAAAAAACUAUGAUCUGAAUUUUCAAUUUCUUUUUGAUUUUACAACUAUGGGAAUCAAGUCAUUUCAAUGUUUGAUUUUACAGUUUUCAUGGGGUCCUCUUCUUAAAGAUGUGUCAAGACUUGAUGAUAAUGGAUUUAAGCAAUCACAAAGGUUCUUUUUUUAAAUUUGGUUCUUAUGUUCUUGAGAUUGGAAAAGCUUUUCUGGUAUCUAAUCAAAAACCCCAUUUCACAAAACAAUUUAUCUGAGAAGAUUAGGCAACUAAUUCAGGAGGGUCAGCAUAAGGAAGCAACAAAUUCAUGGGGUGAACUUGAAGGUGUUAUAAGCUCUAACAGCAAUGAAGUAGUACUUAUGAACAUAAAAUGUGGAAUCAUUUGUAUGAACAUUAUAUGACGUCAUGACCUUAAUUCUUUUCUUCUUUUUUUGUUGUUGUUGUGAUCAAUUUGAGGACUUUUAUAACUUUUUAUUGGUUUCAGGAAUGGACUCAAUUUCAUCAUCUUCAAUAACAGUACUUCAAUUGUCAAAAGAGAGUGCAUACAAGAGAUACUCAAGAUAUCUUAGUGUAUUGAGAUCAUCAUAUAUUGCAUUCAUUAUUUACUUUUAAUUGUCAAAAUUAUAAAUUAUAUUAUUUAAAUAUACAUAAUAAUAAUCUCACCUAAUAAUUAAUAAUAAUUUUUUUUUAAUUUUUAAUUGUAUCACUUUUAAAUAAAAUAGAAAAUACUUAGCAUAAAAUUUAAUAUACGUGCCUCGCACGUAGAUUUUUACUAGUAUAUAUAUAUAUAUCUAUACAUUUUAUCUUUUUUAGGUAAUUACAGAAGGAGCAACUCAUAUACAGUCUCACAUUUAUAUUAUCUUUUCUAGACAUUUUAUCUAUAUUUUUCUUUUUUAAAAAAUAAAUAAAAAAAUUAUUAAUAUUCUCCCAAGAUAGGUUUGUUAGAGAGAUAUGUAGCUAAGAUGAUUUUUUUAAUUUA